rnacentral:rRNA from 1 species
GACGAACGCUGGCGGCGUGCUUAACACAUGCAAGUCGAACGGAAAGGCCCUGCUUUUGUGGUGUGCUCGAGUGGCGAACGGGUGAGUAACACGUGAGUAACCUGCCCUUGACUUUCGUAUAACUUCAGGUAACUGGGGCUAAUACCGGAUAGCAGCUCCUGCUGCAUGGUGGGGGUUGGAAAUUUUCGGCUGUUGGGGAUGGAUUCGCGGCUUAUCAGCUUGCUGGUGGGGUAGUGGCUUACCCAGGCAUUGACGGGUAGCCGGCCUGAGAGGGUGACCGGCCACAAGGGGACUGAGGUACGGCGCAGACUGGUAUGGGAGGCAGUAGUGGGAAACAUGGCACAACGAGAGGAAGCGUGAGACAGCGACGCCGGGUGCGGGAUGACGGCCUGUGGGGUGUGAACCGCUUUCGCUUGUGACGAAGCGGGAGUGACGGUAAUGGAUAAAGAAGCACCGGCUAACUACGUG